CGGCGGACGGGUGAGUAACGCGUGGGUAACCUGCCUCAUACAGGGGGAUAACAGUUAGAAGUGGCUGCUAAUACCGCAUAAGACCACAGCACCGCAUGGUGCAGGGGUAAAAACUCCGGUGGUAUGAGAUGGACCCGCGUCUGAUUAGCUGGUUGGUGGGGUAACGGCCUACCAAGGCGACGAUCAGUAGCCGGCCUGAGAGGGUGACCGGCCACAUUGGGACUGAGACACGGCCCAA
rnacentral:rRNA from 1 species